GCGCUCGUGGCGGAAUGGUAGACGCGCUAGCCCGAGGUGCUAGUGCUCCGCGAGGGGCGUUCCGGUUCAAGUCCGGGCGAGCGCACAA
rnacentral:tRNA from 1 species